rnacentral:rRNA from 1 species
GACAGAGGGUGCAAACGUUGUUCGGAAUUACUGGGCGUAAAGCGUGUGUAGGCGGCCAUGUAAGUCGGGUGUGAAAGCCCCAGGCUCAACCUGGGAAGUGCACUCGAUACUGCGUGGCUUGAGUAUCGGAGAGGUUGGUGGAAUUCUCGGUGUAGAGGUGAAAUUCGUAGAUAUCGAGAGGAACACCGGUGGCGAAGGCGGUCUCCUGGAGCACUCUUGACGCUGAGGCGCGAAAGCUGGGGGAGCGAACGGG